rnacentral:rRNA from 1 species
GUUAGGAAUAUUGGACAAUGGGCGAAAGCCUGAUCCAGCCAUGCCGCGUGAACGAUGAAGGCCUUCGGGUUGUAAAGUUCUUUAGCCGAUGAUUAUAAUGACUGUAGUCGGAAAAUAAGCCCCGGCUAACUUCGUGCCAGCAGCCGCGGUAAUACGAAGGGGGCGAGCGUUAUUCGGAAUCACUGGGCGUAAAGCGUGCGUAGGCGGUUUUGUAAGUUAGGAGUGAAAGCCCAGGGCUCAACCUUGGAAUUGCUCUUAAAACUGCAAGGCUCGAAUCUCGGAGAGGAUAGCGGAAUUUCCAGUGUAGCAGUGAAAUGCGUAGAUAUUGGAAGGAACACCAGUGGCGUAAGCGGCUAUCUGGACGAGUAUUGACGCUGAGGCACGAAAGCGUGGGGAUCAAACAGGAUUAGAUACCCUUGUAGUCC